UGGGGAAUCUUGCACAAUGGGCGAAAGCCUGAUGCAGCAACGCCGCGUGCGGGAAGACAGCCCUAGGGUUGUAAACCGCUUUCAGCAGGGAAGAAACUGACGGUACCUGCAGAAGAAGAUGCGGCCAACUACGUGCCAGCAGCCGCGGUGACACGUAGGCAUCAAGCGUUAUCCGGAUUUAUUGGGCGUAAAGAGCUCGUAGGCGGUUCGGUAAGUCGGGUGUGAAAACUCUGGGCUCAACCCAGAGAGGCCACUCGAUACUGCUGUGACUAGAGUGCGGUAGGGGGAGCGGGGGAAUUCCUGGUGUAGCGGUGAAAUGCGCAGAUAUCAGGAGGAAACACCAGUGGCGAAGGCGCCGCUCUGGGGCCGUAACUGACGCUGAGGAGCGAAAAGCAUGGGUAGCAAACAGGAUUAGAUACCCUGGUAGUCCACACCGUAAAACGAUGAAUGCCAGUCGUCGGGGUAGCAUGCUAUUCGGUGACACACCU
rnacentral:rRNA from 1 species